AACGAACGCUGGCGGCGUGCCUAACACAUGCAAGUCGAGCGCGAAUGGAGCAAUCCUAGUAGAGCGGCGCACGGGUGCGUAACACGUGGAUAAUCUGCCUGGGUGUCUGGGAUAACCAGUCGAAAGACUGGCUAAUACCGGAUAAGACCACGGUCUCUUCGGAGGCUGUGAGAAAAGGUGGCCUCUGUAUACAAGCUAUCACAUCCAGAUGAGUCCGCGG
rnacentral:rRNA from 1 species